ACACCGAUGGUGAAGCGGUUAUCAUGCUUGCCUUCCAUUUAAUACGGCAGCAAGCGGCAGGGGUUCGACUCCCCUUCGGUGUA